GAUGAAGAACGUAGCAAAAUGCGAUAAGUAAUGUGAAUUGCAGAAUUCAGUGAAUCAUCGAAUCUUUGAACGCACAUUGCGCCCGCCAGUAUUCUGGCGGGCAUGCCUGUUCGAGCGUCAUUUCAACCCUCAAGCACAGCUUGGUGUUGGGACUCGCGUUAAUUCGCGUUCCCCAAAUUGAUUGGCGGUCACGUCGAGCUUCCAUAGCGUAGUAGUAAAACCCUCGUUACUGGUAAUCGUCGCGGCCACGCCGUUAAACCCCAACUUCUGAACGUUUGACCUCGGAUCAGGUAGGAAUACCCGCUGAACUUAAGCAUAUCAAUAAGCGGAGGA
rnacentral:misc_RNA from 1 species